rnacentral:rRNA from 1 species
CUACGGGGUGCUCCAGUGAGGAAUAUUGCACAAUGGGGGGAACCCUGAUGCAGCAACGCCGCGUGGGGGAUGACGCAUUUCGGUGUGUAAACUCCUUUUAUAUGUCAAGAAAAUGACGGUAGCAUAUGAAUAAGCACCGGCUAACUCCGUGCCAGCAGCCGCGGUAAUACGGAGGGUGCAAGCGUUACUCGGAAUCACUGGGCGUAAAGGACGCGUAGGCGGGUUGGAAAGUCAGGUGUGAAAUCCUACAGCUUAACUGUAGAACUGCACUUGAAACUUCUAAUCUAGAGUAUGGGAGGGGGAGAUGGAAUUAGUGGUGUAGGGGUAAAAUCCGUAGAUAUCACUAGGAAUACCUAAAGCGAAGGCGAUCUCCUGGAACAUUACUGACGCUAAGGCGUGAAAGCGUGGGGAGCAAACAGGAUUAGAUACCCUUGAAGUC